rnacentral:rRNA from 1 species
GGAGUUUGGACCGUGUCUCAGUUCCAAUGUGGGGGACCUUCCUCUCAGAACCCCUACUGAUCGCGGGCUUGGUGGGCCGUUACCCCGCCAACAACCUAAUCAGACGCAUCCCCAUCCCAUAGCGGUGAACCUUUGGUAUUCCUCAGAUGGCAUCGGAAUACAACAUAGAGCAUUAAUCCGACUUUCGCCGGGCUAUUCUCUACUAUGGGGAAGGUUGGAUACGCGUUACUCACCCGUGCGCCGGUCGCCGACAGAAUUAGCAAGCUAAUUCCUCGCUGCCCCUCCGACUUGCAUGUGUUAAGCCUGUAGCUAGCGUUCAUC